CCCAUCCCCCACAACACCCGCCCAUCCCCCACACCACCCGCCCACCCCCACAAUACCCGCCCAUCCCCCACACCACCCGCCCAUCCCCCACACCACCUGCUGAUCAAAAAGAGCCUGGGCCUAGCACCUGCAGCACGAGGGUACCACCACAACAAGCACCUGUUUGUCUUGACACUUACCCGAGCCGCAUGUUCAGUGGGGAAAAGCAGGUCUUUUGUAGUUAGCGCCUGGUUCAAUCACAGAGAGUGGUUUGAAUGCUAGACUAGAGAGUGACUUAAAUGCUAAUUCGGACAGAGCUUUCACUCAAACUGGCUACUCAAUAUGGAAACAUGCCAGUGACAUCACUAAAGGACUGGGGAAGCAUGCCUCUUGUAAAGAGCAUUUGAAAAGCAUGAUUUUAUGGAAGACCAAACAAACACUAAGAACAAGAAAUGCCCACUGUUAUGAAUACAGAGCAGCUAGGAAGACUGUGGACACUGUGGAGUUUCUUGAGGUGAUUGAGCUUCCUUUGUGAGGGAGUUUGGAUGCGAUUGACUCGAUGGCAUCUCUUCUAAAUGGGACCAGCAGGAGAGAGCAGACUCACCUGUUCCCAGCUGUGUGUCCAUGAAGAGUGACCAGUCAAUAGUAAUUCCAUUAAACUUCAGUGAGGGAGUCUUUCCUACUGAACAGAGGAGGGAUCAGAGUCUGAGACUAACAGUCAUCAAACAGACCAGGCAUCCAUAGCCAAGUUGUUUGAAGACAAGUCCCUCUCAUAUCUAAAGUCUCAUCUGAAGAAGUAUAGAAUAAUUCUGUGUCCAGAUUACCCAGGGUCAGGGGGAGGAUGAGGAAGUGAUGGAUGCUGAAGAUCAGGAGCAGGAGAGCAAAGCCAGCAAGGGGGCUCUGAAGAUCACAAUUCAUGUCCUGAAGAGUAUUAACCAGAAAGAGCUUGCAGACACACUGGAAAAAAACUGAUGGGUUGCAACCUGACAGAAAAAUGCUGUGAAGCACUGGCCUCUUCUCUCAGCUCCUCUCAACUGAGAACGCUGAACCUGAAUGAUAAUGAUCUGCAGGAUUCAGGAGAGAAGCUGCUCUCUGCUGGACUGAGGAGUCCACAAUGUAAACUGGAAGUUCUUACUUUGUUAUUAUGUGGAAUCACAGAGGAAGGCUGUGCUUCCUUGACCUCGGCUCCGAGGUCAAACCCCUCACACCUGAGAGCUGAAUCUGGACUACAGUCACAUAGGAGACUCAGGAGUGAUGAUUCUCUCUGCUGCACUGGAGCAUCCAGACUGUAAUGUAAAACUCAGAUGCCUAUGAGCUGACACUGGACCCAAACACAGCCCACAGACGCCUCUCCGUCUGAGGGGAACAGAACCGAGACGGGAGACAGAGGAGAACCCGUAUCCUGAUCACCCAGACGGAUUUCAACGCUGGCCACAGGUUUUGUGUAGACAGAGGAGAACCCGUAUCCUGAUCCCCCAGACAGAUUUCAACGCUGGCCACAGGUUUUGUGUAGACAGAGGAGCAACCAUAUCCAGAUUAGUGUUGCUGUUAUCCAAUACAUGUAUGAUAUAGGCUACUGCACAUUACGCACGACAGACAAACAUAAAAGCCCAUAGACGUAGCUAGCUAUAUGCUCUCUUAGGUAAAUAAAUGAAACUAGUGUGAACUGUAUUACUGUACUGUAUUAUACUGUAUUAUAUGGACUGGAAUUACGCACAUUGUUCAAACCACGAUAAAGCAGAAGAGAACAUGCGAUUUGUGUGCAGCAAAUGCUGCCUACAAAGUUACAAGUAUAGGCUAGAGAAUUAGAUUUAAAUGUUGAAAUAUAAUAGGGCCUAUUUGUAUAAUUAGUAGGCUGACGCAUAUAUACCUUUCAUAACAUUUCCCCUAAUGUUAUUAGUCUACCAACUCUUUCUCUAUUGUUGCUUCAUUCCUUCCUCGCUUUCAACAGUUCAAUUAAAUACUUUUCGUUGUCCUUAUCUUCAUCAUUCUAAUGACAUCCUUGAAUAAUAUAGGACUAGAAUUAGAUGCAGAAUGCUUUCACUUCUCUUCACGAAGAUUAAAUGGUAAUGACUGAAUAAAUAACUGAUAUAGCCUACCGCUAUCGCGCCCAUUUGCUCUUCUUUCAAACUACCCGUGAGUUCUAUUGGCUGCUGUAUUUAGCAAUCAUAAACAUAUAAUGCCCAGCAAGGUAUUCUAGUCUAGUUUUUCCUGCAUGGGAUUGGAAGAGCUAAGGAACGUUUUUUAAGGAGAGGCCAGCGGAGCACAGGUGUGUGUGUAUUGCGCAAGAGACAUGGGCUGUACUGUAAAUUAGACUCUUACUAUGCAUAACCCAUUAUUUAGCUAAAUAUAAGGCUAUUACUGCAUUGAAUGUAUUACCUGAAAGAGGUAGGAUAUAUAUAUAUAUCUCAAUCUAGAACAAGAUGAUCUAUUUUGGAUGUAAUUUGAAUGGAGUUGAUAGAGAGAGAGAACAAGACUGCGAGAGAGUGCUUGCGCGUGCACUGAUAUAAUGAAAUGAUAUUUGAGUGAUUGGCUGUUUUAAAACUGCAGCUGCAAUUGAAAAAAAGUAUAAUCUUUCCAAUGAAAAAACAAGGUGACCCCUGAAAGCCAGAUGGAGAUGGGUGUAUUAGACGGGCAUUCGCUCUUUAUAUUACUGUAGCAUAGGCUAUGCUGCAACAAAUGUAGGCCUACCUGUCACAAGACAAAACGCUGCCAUGAUGAAAUGAUAGUUCUACAUGCAUUGUGAACAGCGCUCCAUUCUGAGAUAGGAUGUCUGUUCCCAACUUGAGUGUUGAUUCAUCAAACAGACGCUAUAGAGAAGAUCGAUUUAGACAUUGCAUAUAAUUUAACAGUUCGAUUUCACGCAAUGCUGUUCAUAUAAAUAAUUUAUUAUAAUUUACUGGUUUCUCACAGUUAUUUAUCCCGGGAAAGGGGAGUGGUUUUGUGGCAGUAAAUCUCGGUAACCGGGCUCCAGCCAUUCAACCCUAAUCCUGUUCACCCAGACAGAUUUCAACGCUGGCGAAAGGUUUUGUGUAGUCCACAGGUUUUUCUUAUUGGGUGUUGUUACUGGGAGGUAGAGUGGCAUGGGACAGAAAUUAUAGGAAUCACCAGGGGCGCAACUGUCACUGGGGAGGGGGGGACUGGAAUGUGAUAAACUAGGCAAUGGUGUGGUUUAGGACCAUGCGGACACCUCCGAGCGGUCAGGUAGGCUGUUUGGAGUGUCCUCUGGUAUAUUUACCCACCUGUGGACUUUAAAUAACAGAUUCACUGAGCCCCUCUACCCAGGGCUCUGGGUUGCUGUGGACUUUAAAUAACAGAUUCACUGAGCCCCUCUACCCAGGGCUCUGGGUUGCUGUGGACUUUAAAUAACAGAUUCACUGAGCCCCUCUACCCAGGGCUCUGGGUUGCUGUGGACUUUAAAUAACAGAUUCACUGAGCCCCUCUACCCAGGGCUCUGGGUUGCUGUGGACUUUAAAUAACAGAUUCACUGAGCCCCUCUACCCAGGGCUCUGGGUUGCUGUGGACUUUAAAUAACAGAUUCACUGAGCCCCUCUACCCAGGGCUCUGGGUUGCUGUGGACUUUAAAUAACAGAUUCACUGAGCCCCUCUACCCAGGGCUCUGGGUUGCUGUGGACUUUAAAUAACAGAUUCACUGAGCCCCUCUACCCAGGGCUCUGGGUUGCUGUGGACUUUAAAUAACAGAUUCACUGAGCCCCUCUAACCAGGGCUCUGGGUUGCUGUGGACGUUAAAUAACAGAUUCACUGAGCCCCUCUACCCAGGGCUCUGGGUUGCUGUGGACUUUAAAUAACAGAUUCACUGAGCCCCUCUACCCAGGGCUCUGGGUUGCUGUGGACUCCAUACUAGUGUCCUGUAACCUGGAAAAACACAGUAGUCCUCAAGGGAUCUGUGAACAUUUGAAAUGUUUUAAAAACGUUGCAACAUCAAUUCAUGUCAUCUCCUCAAUUCAUCUGAUUACAUUCAGAAAUCAUGUGACACUAGUGAUGCAUCAUAUGGCAGGUAUAAGAAAGAUGGCUUUUCUCACAGCUCCCAAAAAAGUUAUCCAACAUUGUUAUCCAAUAUAUCACAGUUCAGUUUCCUCUCUUAUCUUCUCCCCGCUGGCACAGAGAAGAGCUCCCUCUCUGUCCUAGGCUGAUACCGCUCCAGUUUGUCAGAGAUGCCCUGCUACAGCCCAAGAGAGCGGCCUCAGGCCCACAGACCUGUCAGAGCCUGAAGGAUAUACAACACUUUUCCAUUCUUUAUUUUUGUAUUCAUUACGUUACUCUGAGGUCUAUGUCCUGUCAUGUGAAUGAAAGAAAAUUACACCUGAAUCUGUGGGGAAGUUUUGUAAUCCAUACAUUUGUAACCGUGUAAAUAAUCUCUAAAAGUAUUAUAUUUGAUUGUAGCAUGCCUUGAUUUUAUAGCCAUUAAUUAUGAGUGAUUUACACAGAUGUACACAAUAGACAAGUACAGGUUUGAUGGUGUUUGUAGCAUGCUGUACUACAGUACUUAUCUUAGUAAAGACACUCCUGAAGCUAACACUAAAUAUAUGAAUUCAGAUUUGUACCAUAUUUCUAAAGUGUGUUGUCUCUUCCUCUGCCAUCACUAAAAGGUGUAGAAUGAUGUAAUGCAGUACCAGUGAUGUUCUGUACACUGUAUCUGGUUUUAUCUUACUAAAUAACUUCCUGAAGCUAA